AGCGAACGCUGGCGGCAGGCUUAACACAUGCAAGUCGAGCGGGCAUCUUCGGAUGUCAGCGGCUGACGGGUGAGUAACACGUGGGAACGUACCCUUCGGUUCGGAACAACUCUGGGAAACUGGAGCUAAUACCGGAUACGCCCUUAUGGGGAAAGGUUUACUGCCGAAGGAUCGGCCCGCGUCUGAUUAGCUAGUUGGUGGGGUAACGGCCUACCAAGGCGACGAUCAGUAGCUGGUCUGAGAGGAUGAUCAGCCACACUGGGACUGAGACACGGCCCAGACUCCUACGGGAGGCAGCAGUGGGGAAUAUUGGACAAUGGGCGCAAGCCUGAUCCAGCCAUGCCGCGUGAGUGAUGAAGGCCUUAGGGUUGUAAAGCUCUUUUGUCCGGGACGAUAAUGACGGUACCGGAAGAAUAAGCCCCGGCUAACUUCGUG
rnacentral:rRNA from 1 species